rnacentral:lncRNA from 1 species
CCAUACUUUGCAUCAACAACUGUGGAUUCUUCGGGAGUGCAGCCACCAUGAACAUGUGUUCCAAGUGCCACAAGGAUUUGGUAUUGAAGCAGGAACAGGCUAAACUUGCUGCAUCAUCGUUUGAGAGCAUCGUGGAGGGCAGCUCCAACUGCAAUGCAAAAGAGUCCAUGGUCGCCAUUGCCAAAGCUGAUAUAAUACAGACUGGUCCAUCAGAGUCAAUGCCCGUCCCAACACAGGCAGCUUGUGCUUCACCAAGCGAGACCAAUGACAGAGUGAAAGAGGGUCCAAACAGGUGCAGUUCUUGCAGGAAGCGAGUCGGUUUAACAGGCUUCAAUUGUCGCUGUGGAAACAUCUUCUGUGCAGUGCAUCGCUACUCUGACAAACAUGCCUGCCCAUUCGACUACAGGACCGCUGCUCGAGAUGCCAUAGCCAAAUCCAACCCUGUUAUCAAGCCUGAAAAGCUUGACAAAAUCUAAGAAGCCAUGUUUGAACAGUCUACCCCACGAGUCUUCUCUUGUUUACUCAUGACAUAAAUGGUCGCUCGGGCUUUCCCUGUCUGAAAGAACAUUAUAGAUCAGUCAUCCAUGGUGUGUUUUGCUGCUGGUCUGAU